rnacentral:lncRNA from 1 species
GAUCCUCUUGCCUUAGCAUCCUGAGCAGCUGGGACUACAGUUGAGCAUCACAUGUCCAGUUUUCUGGAUCCUGGGGUAGCAACUUACUAGGUUGGAGCCUAUAGGAGCAAGGCACCCAGGGACUUUCUUCUCAAAGACUUUCAAACAAGUUCACACUUUUACACCCCUUAGCCUAGGAUGGGCAGGGUUCACACUUUUACACCCUCAGCCUGGGAAAGGUAUCUUUCCUAUUUUCUUUGUAUAAAGUAUUUGGCUUCUUAAUGGUGCUAAUCUCUUCAGCAACCACAUUCUCCUUGGCCCCAUUUUUAACAGCACUCCUUUUCUGGUCAAAUUUUCAAAUUUACUCUGUUUUUUGCUCCUGAUCUCAAUGUAAAUCUGGUUAAAUGCAGUCAGCAAUACCCAUGCUACUGCCUGAAUACUGUGUUGCUUUGAAACUCCCUGUCAGAUUAAUUAGUCCAUCACCUUUAAGCUGCCUCACACAAACCUCAGGGCAUGGACAAAAUGUAGACAAGUUCUUUGUCAGAAUGUAAGGCAAAUUGUCUCUAAUCCAGUCCUAGUUUCCAUAUGAAAAUAAAUAUGGAUCAACACCCCCAGCAGCACUUUGGGUGUUAUAACUGAUGUGACAAUUUUUGUUAUUUAAACUCCUAAAAGAGUCCUAGUUUCCAUCUGAAACCACAGCAGCAGAGUUUUUAUUGUCUGUUUUCCUAUCGGCAUUCUGCUCUUUUGAACCCCCACCAGAAUUGCCCAUUAAGCUUUGCUUCUCAUUCUGAGGCUUCUCUAGCCUGCAUAUCUAAACUUCUUGGUACCAAUUUUCUGUUAGUCAGCUUUCUGUCACCAUGACCAGAUACCUAAGAAAAUCAACUUUGAGGAUGAAAUAUUUAUUUUGGCUCAGAGUUUCAGAAUUUUCAACCCAUGGUCACUUGGCUCCACUGAUUCUGGGCCUGUGUUGAGAAGGACAUGGUGGAACAAAGUAUUCACCUUAUGGCAACAAGGAAGGAGAGAGAGAAAUGAAGUGAGAGAAGGAGAGAGAAGAGGCUGGGGUUUCAAUGAAUGAUUCAAGGUCAUACCCCCUGUGACUUUCUUCCUCCAACUAGCCCUACCUCCUGAAGUUUCCAC